CCAAUCUUACACUUUCUCCUGCACGCAUUUGCCUUUUGUUAUGGUCAUGACCUCAGUGGACACCAACCCAGUCUUUGACAAGGUAGCCACCUCUCUCUCUCUUCGAGAUUUAAGUUUUUCCCCUGAACCAUUGUGGAAUUAGAAAAGUAACCCUCUAACAUGCAAGGCCCUCCCUUGGGUAUUCAUUGUGGAUUAAAGCAAAUUUUCUAUCUAUUUUCGAGAAAUGUGGCUCAAGGCUCAGUCAUUUACAUACCAUUGAUUUGUCUUUCCUAUAUCCAGGAGCCAGGUGAACUUUGGAUUCCUUAACAUUUUAAAACAUAUCAAUUCAGUGCUUAACUCCAUAAAUGUAUUUAUAAAGGAAACUUUAAAACACUACCAUAAAUUUAAGACUAGUAUGGUAAACAGGCAUUAAAAUUACUAUGCUAAAAACAAAACUAUGUUAUUUUUUGCAGAAGGCACUAAACCUGAGGUUACUCUCUUUUUCUUUUUUUUUUUCUGAGAUGGAGUCUCGCUCUGUCGCACAGGCUGGAGUGCAGUGGCAUGAUCUAGGCUCACUGCAAGCUCCACCUCCCGGGUUCAGGCCAUUCUCCUGCCUCAGCCUCCCGAGCAGCUGGGACUACAGUACUUCAUUUCCCCGGAGGGCUCUGGCUUUAUAAUUGACAGCAUCGGAACAAUUUCCACAGCAGCAGUUUUUGAUUUUGAAAGUGA
ensembl:lncRNA novel transcript